UAUUCUUCUUCUUCUUGGGCAGCUCUGACGUGUGUCAGCAGUUGUACUCUCCCUCCUCAUUCCUCCUACAUUUGGUUCAAGAAUGGAGAGAAAAUCCCCAGAAAAACAUCCUCGACUUACUCAGACUACUUUAAUAAUGUAGACAGCUAUUCCUGUGCUUUACAGGAACACCAGGAUUUCCCCUCUCCUCCAGUGUGUGUUCAUGGUGAAACCUGUAACAGAGUGACUUACGAUGUCAGAACCAUCUGUGCACCCAAAGGCUCAUCAGUGGACAUUUAUUGUACUUACAACGGUCAUGAAGCGGUCACUUCAAAGUUCUGGUUCAGUCCUGAACAUAGUCAGCAUUGGUAUCAGUCAAAUCGUGUUCAGGUCUCUGAAAGAGAGAGAGGACGCUCCACUCUGAGAAUCUCUGACCUGAGAGAGAGCGAUUCAGCCCAGCAUCGUUUCAAUUUACAACAAGAAGCUUUGAAUGGAGGAGCAGUUUACCUGGAACAACUCUGACUGUCACAGCGUUACAGGUUCAGGUUAAAAGGAUAAGAGCCGGUCAGCAUUCCAUUGAGGUGGAGAUGACGUGUCACAGCAGCUGCAGUGAAGUCGGUCGUCUCUCAUACGUCUGGUUCAGGAACAAACAGAAAAUAACCGGAGCUGU